CACAAUGGUUUUUGUCACAUUCUAGAAAUCACUUUCUCUAUCGUGAGUCAUGCGCGACCACCCUAGUUGGCCCGGAACAAAUAUUUCUUCAUUUCAAACCGACGAGUUUAUCUCGUCUGUAAGACAGCCAAGUACCAGUUGGCUGUCACUCCGUCACGUUCAGUUGGAUAAACGCUCGACAAAUUGGAUCGCGGAAUUCUAUUGUGCGUACGCGCACUUAUAAACGAAGUUGGUUUAAUUAAAUAAUUUCGAAGUAAAAAGAAAGGCGACUACGCCGUUAGCUCGGCAAUGCUGGCGUCUGCACAUCGUUGAAAUUACGCUGUGUAUUUCUACUUGUCAGCCGGUACCUCGAAGGAAAAUUUACCUGAAGCCUCAUUUCCUAUAGAAAUUUUCGCCCCGCUAGGGGCAAAGCAUUCUAGCUAUUGAUAACAUAAUUAUACCUUCUGGAGGAGAUCGCGAGUGUCCGAAACUCCCGACUUCAACGGGUACUUCUCUGUCCUUGAGAAUCCCACCUUCAUCGACGAUCGCCCGCGUCAUGACCGCGUCGGUUUUAUCGACGUCUCGGCUCUCCCGCAUUCCCUCUUCCUCCGAAUGCUUCUGCUGCACAAGCGAAAAAGAAAAAAAUGCACGCUUGAGAGAAUCACCCCAAAAAUAAGCGAAGACUUUGAAAAAAGGAGACUGAAAAAUCCCGAGUAAUCUCAAAACAGCCAAUUGCGAACGUGCAAUUCGGUAUUCGUUCAUUGGAGCGCCUCGUACGUAGAUCCUCCUUUUCCAAGGCAACGGCAGUAUGACCGCGGCAGCCGAAGCGACGUGGUCAUCGGGAGCGACAUCGAUGGUAGCGCGUACGUACACAUCCUUUGAGAAGAGAGAGAAGAAGCCAGCGAGGAGAGAGAGACAUAUAUUUGGGUGAGGAUUAGCAAUGGAAUAGUACGCAGUUACUACAGCGCCAUAAAUUUUGUCGAUAACGAGUCCGGUGUCCAGUUUUGAUCCAGCCGUGACUCGGGAAGUAGUGUUUCGGUUGAUCUACAUAUUUUGAAAAAGUGCUUGACAAUCGGUAGCUAGUGAAAAAACUAUAUCAGUGGAAAUUUCGUGAAUUCCGUAACUCGGAGAUUUUUCCAUAAGCACUGAUUCAUACUUGACAGGCGUCGAAGGUGCCUGGUUCUUCCCAAUACGGUUCAACUCUGAAUUACUAUCCCUACGUUGUGCUGAAAAAUUCGUAUAAGGCUCUCAAUUCGUCGUCACAGUGCCUUGAUCAUCGCAGUACCUCUUCAACUUUCAACCCUGAAGGGCAGGACUUCCAUGCCAUCGCACAAUUCGUUUACAGGUACUCGGAGAUGCUGCCGCCGCAGUUAUGACCCCCUGGACUUCCCCUGUUCAUCAGGGGGAGUCCAGGGACUCGUCCCCUGGGACUGCGC